UUUAGUUUCUGUUUUGUGAGAACUCUGUACAAAGCGUUUUCCCUUGACCGCCUGUCCUCCCAGGCCUGAGAUGGCUUCUGUAGUGAGCAGAGCUGAAUAAACUCAAGGUUCCUUCUCGAGAACUGGGCAUCAUUGCCUGCUUCUCCACUUGUCACCGGAGAGUGGAGUGUCCUUGGAGAGGCUGGGGCCCCAGGAUUUGAGGAACUGCUCGGUAGUGGACCUUCAAAGACCUUAUCACAGAUUGAACAUAAUGAAGAAUCAUAGUCUUGCAGGAAUAUGGGGACAAGAGAGGAUGGUCACGUCCCCAGUCUCGGGUGAGUCCCCUGGAUGGCCGCCAAGGGAGGGUCCUUGGCUUCCUGCAGGAAAGAAUUCAAGAGCAGGCAGAGCGAAAGCAGAUUUAUUCAGGGAGACAGACACUCUGUACCCGGAGUGUGGGCCACCUCAGAAGGCGAGAGGGCCCGGAGUAAGGGAUGGUUAGUUUUUAUGGGCUGGGUGAUUUCAUAGGCUAACGAGUGGGAGACUUAUUCCAACUAUUUUGGGGAAGGGGAGGGGAUUAUCAGGAAUCGGUCCACAGCCCAAUUUUGGCUUUGAAUGCUUGUCCUCACAACUGUCAUAGUGCCUGUGGGCUUGUCAUUUAGAUGUUAAUAUAUUACAGUAGGUGUAUAAUGAGGUUCAGGGUGUACUAGAAGUGGAAUCUCCCACCAUUUGGGGCCUAGCAGGUGUAACCAGUUUUUGUUGUAUCCUCAAUGGCUACGCCAUUCUUUUAAGGUUGUGAUCCGCCCCCUUACCUCCUGUCUCAAUGCUGUGAAUUUACCUAAAUGACCUUUUUUUCCCACAAAUCCCAUUGUUCUUUAGUGAAGGGAACCUCUUUCAAUCCAGCAAAGACCCUGUGAAGAUGUGUCUGUGAACCAGAUGGUGACUGCAGCCAUGAAAUUAAAAGACGCUUAGUCCUUGGAAGGAAAGUUAUGACCAACCUAGAUAGCAUAUUCAAAAGCAGAGACAUUACUUUGCCAACAAAGGUCUGUCUAGUCAAGGCUAUGGUUUUUCCUGUGGUCAUGUAUGGAUGUGAGAGUUGGACUGUGAAGAAGGCUGAGAGCUGAAGAAUUG
ensembl:lncRNA